rnacentral:rRNA from 1 species
GACGAACGCUGGCGGCGUGCUUAACACAUGCAAGUCGUACGGUAAGGCCCUUUCGGGGGUCCACGAGUGGCGAACGGGUGAGUAACACGUGAGUAACCUGCCCACAACUUUGGGAUAACGCUAGGAAACUGGUGCUAAUACUGGAUAUGUGCUCCUGCUGCAUGGUGGGGGUUGGAAAGCUCCGGCGGUUGUGGAUGGACUCGCGGCCUAUCAGCUUGUUGGUGGGGUAGUGGCCUACCAAGGCGGCGACGGGUAGCCGGCCUGAGAGGGUGACCGGCCACAUUGGGACUGAGAUACGGCCCAGACUCCUACGGGGGGCAGCAGGGGGGAAUAUUGCACAAUGGGCGCAAGCCUGAUGCAGCAACGCCGCGGGCGGGAUGACGGCCUUCGGGUUGUAAACCGCUUUCAGCAGGGACGAAGCUUUUUGUGACGGUACCUGCAGAAGAAGCACCGGCUAACUACGUG